rnacentral:rRNA from 1 species
GAUCAUGGCUCAGGACGAACGCUGGCGGCGUGCUUAACACAUGCAAGUCGAACGGAGCACCCUUGAUUGAGGUUUUCGGCCAAAAUGAUAGGAAUGCUUAGUGGCGGACUGGUGAGUAACGCGUGAGGAACCUGCCUUUCAGAGGGGACAACAGUUGGAAACGACUGCUAAUACCGCAUGACGCAUUUUGAUCGCAUGGUCGAAAUGCCAAAGAUUUAUCGCUGAAAGAUGG